AAAGGGAGGUUGUGAUGUCUUUGUAAUGUACUAUAUGUAAUAUAUGUAAUGUUAAUAUAUAAUGUAAAUGCCAGUGCCCCUUGAGGCCAAAAGAGAAGCUGGCAAAUGUACCUAAAGUGAGGGGGAAGA